rnacentral:rRNA from 1 species
AUUGAACGCUGGCGGCAGGCCUAACACAUGCAAGUCGAACGGUAACAGGAAACAGCUUGCUGUUUCGCUGACGAGUGGCAGACGGGUGAGUCAUGUCUGGGAAACUGCCUGCUGGAGGGGGAUAUCUACUGGAAACGGUAGCUACUACCGCAUAACGUCGCCAGACCAAAGAGGGGGACCUUCGGGCCUCUUGCCAUCGGAUGUGCCCAGAUGGGAGUAGCUAGUAGGUGGGAUAACGGCUCACCUAGGCGACGAUCCCUAGCUGGUCUGAGAGGAGGACCAGCCACACUGGAACUGAGACACGGUCCAGACUCCUACGGUAGGCAGCAGUGGGGAAUAGUGCACAAUGGGCGCAAGCCUGAUGCAGCCAUGCCGCGUGUAUGAAGAAGGCCUUCGGGUUGUAAAGUACUUUCAGCGGGGAUGAAGGGAGUAAAGUUAAUACCUUGGCUCAUUGACGUUACCCGCAGAAGAAGCACCGGCUAACUCCGUG